rnacentral:rRNA from 1 species
AUUGAACGCUGGCGGCAUGCCUUACACAUGCAAGUCGAACGGUAACGGGCCUUCGGGUGCCGACGAGUGGCGAACGGGUGAGUAAUACAUCGGAACGUGCCCGAUCGUGGGGGAUAACGAGGCGAAAGCUUUGCUAAUACCGCAUACGAUCUACGGAUGAAAGCAGGGGACCGCAAGGCCUUGCGCGGACGGAGCGGCCGAUGGCAGAUUAGGUAGUUGGUGGGAUAAAAGCUUACCAAGCCGACGAUCUGUAGCUGGUCUGAGAGGAUGAUCGGCCAGACUGGGAGUGAGACACGGCCCAGGCUCCUAAGGGAGGCAGCAGUGGGGAAUUUUGGACAAUGGGCGCAAGCCUGAUCCAGCCAUGCCGCGUGCAGGAUGAAGGCCUUCGGGUUGUAAACUGCUUUUGUACGGAACGAAAAGCCUUCUUCUAAUACAGGAGGGUCAUGACGGUACCGUAAGAAUAAGCACCGGCUAACUACGUGCCAGCCGCCGCAGUAA